rnacentral:rRNA from 1 species
UACAGAGGUGGCAAGCGUUGUUCGGAAUUACUGGGCGUAAAGAGCUCGUAGGUGGUUUGUCGCGUUGUUCGUGAAAUCUCACGGCUUAACUGUGAGCGUGCGGGCGAUACGGGCAGACUAGAGUACUGCAGGGGAGACUGGAAUUCCUGGUGUAGCGGUGGAAUGCGCAGAUAUCAGGAGGAACACCGGUGGCGAAGGCGGGUCUCUGGGCAGUAACUGACGCUGAGGAGCGAAAGCGUGGGGAGCGAACAGG